UUUUUAAAAAUUAAAUAUAUACGAAAACAUAAUAUUUAUUUAUGACUAACUUGAUUAAAUCCGACUACUAGUGGAUCUCUGUUAUUAAGUUUACUAGAAUAUAU